AAACCAGCACCUCAAGUGGUCAGGAGGAUUAUUGGGCCUAAAGCAUCCGUAGCCUGUUCUGUAAGUUUUCGGUUAAAUCCACUAGCUCAACUAAUGGGCCGCCGAAAAUACUGUAGAACUAGGGAGUGGGAGAGGUAGACGGUAUUCGGUAGGAAGGGGUAAAAUCCUUUGAUCUAUUGAGGACCACCUGUGGCGAAGGCGGUCUACCAGAACACGUUCGACGGUGAGGGAUGAAAGCUGGGGGAGCAAACCGGAUUAGAAACCCGAGUAGUCC
rnacentral:rRNA from 1 species